UACAGAGGUGGCAAGCGUUGUUCGGAAUUACUGGGCGUAAAGGGCGCGUAGGCGGUUUCGUAAGUCCUGUGUGAAAUCCCCCGGCUCAACUGGGGAACUGCACAGGAAACUGCGAGGCUUGAGUUCGGGAGAGGGAUGCGGAAUUCCAGGUGUAGCGGUGAAAUGCGUAGAUAUCUGGAGGAACACCGGUGGCGAAGGCGGCAUCCUGGACCGACACUGACACUGAGGAGCGAAAGCCAGGGGAGCAAACGGG
rnacentral:rRNA from 1 species